UACCAGAGAUAAUAAGGUCAGUAAACAGCAA
rnacentral:piRNA from 1 species